rnacentral:SRP_RNA from 1 species
GCCAGGCUCGGUGGUGCACACCUGUAGUCCCAACUUCUUGGGUGGCUGAGGUGGGAGAAUUGCUUGAGUCCAGUUCUGGGCUGUAGUGUGCUAUGCCUAUGAAUUGAGCAACUGUGCAGUUGAUCUAGUGUCUGCACUGUUUGGCAUAAAUAUGGUGAUCUCCUGGGAGUGGGGGACCAUCCGGUUGUCUAAGGGCGAGUGAAUUGGCCCAGGUCAGAAAUGGAGCAGGUCAAAACUCACAUGCUGAUCAAUAGCGGGAUCACACCUGUGAACAGCCACUGCACUUCAGCCUGGGCAACAUAGUGAGACCCUGUCUCU